CCUACGGGUGGCAGCAGUGGGGAAUAUUGCGCAAUGGUCGCAAGCCUGAUCCAGCAACGCCGCGUGAAGGAAUAAGGCUUUCGGGUUGUAAACUUCUUUUAUCAGGGACCACGCAAGUGACGUUACCUGAUUAAUACGCCACGGAUAACUACGUGCCAGCAGCCGCGGUAAUACGUAGGUGGCAAGCGUUAUCCGGAUUUACUGGGUGUAAAGGGCGUGUAUGCGGGAUUGCAAGUCAGAUGUGAAAACUAUGGGCUCAACCCAUAGCCUGCAUUUGAAACUGUACGUCUUGAGUGCUGGAGAGGCAAUCGGAAUUCCGUGUGUAGCGGUGAAAUGCGUAGAUAUCCGGAGGAACACCAGUGGCGAAGGCGGAUUGCUGGACAGUAACUGACGCUGAGGCGCGAAAGCGUGGGGAGCAAACAGGAUUAGAUACCCCUGUAGUC
rnacentral:rRNA from 1 species